UGUGACAUCAUGCCCAGUAUAUAAACUGGGGGGAGUGGGGGUGGAGGGAAUCCCCGUUUAGGAACUAACUGGGUGUUGGUCGGCAGGUGGUGAGCAAUUGCAUUGUGCAUCACUUGUGAGAUCAUAUGAACUUGGGGACAAGUUGUAGCUGGUAAGCUCCUUACACAUGGACUGAAAAACACUGGGACAAAGAUGUGCUCUGUGGUGGUUUGUUUUUUUAACCACUCAUCUAAUGGAGUUCUAAUUUUGGGUACUUGAGUAGUCCGGGUUAAUAUUGUGACAUUCUUCCAAAGAACUUAAAGGAAUAUCAUAGUAUGGGAGGUAGAAAUUAGAUCAAACUAAAUGGGACACUCAUUCAGGUAACUUACAGGGCCAAUCCAUUUCAGAGUCAAGAGCAUCUGGUAAUAUAAAGGAACAUAAUUCACUAUGAACAAUAGGUUUUCUGGAUAUUUUCAUGCUAAAUAGUUAGUUGAUACUACAGAGGAAAAAAGAGGGAUCUUUUUUUUCUUUAAAGAUUUGUACCAAUACAUUCUUCAUUACAAUGCUUCCUAUAUGUAAGAUGGCCCCCAUUUUAAAAAAUCAACAUUUUAUCCCUUCCAUCUGUAUUAUACUGCAUAUGCUCUCAUAUUUUCUUUCACAGAUAAAUACCUCUUCUUAUAUUAAAGUUUAUGUACUCUAGUGGAGUAAUAGACAAUUAAACUAUAAACCCACUAGAAUCUUUUUAAAGCAAUAGACACAAAUAAAUUUCUUUCUAUACAGGUGAACCUAGCUUAAAAUUUCAGCAAGGUGUUGUUGAAGUUGUAUUAUCCCUUCCAUUUAAAUGUAGUUAGCUUCCGGUAGAAGUCAUUCAUUCAGUUAUUAGUCCAGUGGUUUAUUUGCUCAAAUAUUCUGGGAAGUAUGUGGCAAAAAUUAAUAACAGAACUUUAAUUUAGCUUUUAAGAUGUUUCUGCUUUGAGCCAUCCAGAGGCUCCCUGCAGAUAAAACACUGUAAUUCUAGGAUUUAAAUUUCUAGGAAGGGAAAUCAGAAAGUGAAGGGUGCGACCUCAGCAAAAAGAAAUAAAUAUUGCAGUGUUUUAUUAUGCCUUGGUAGAUGAAAGAAUGUGAAAUAACAGAAACUGAUAUAGAAGAGACUUGACAGAACUCUUAUGGAAAAAGAAAAAAAAAAAGAAAAA